GUACAUAAUAAAAGAUGGUGAUGUGAAGAUAGCUGAAGAUCUCCAUUUUCUUUUCCCUGAAAGCAGCAGAGAAGGAAGGUCAAGGAGCUUGCCUGAUCUUGAAAGAGAAGAGAUGAAAAAUAUCUGUGAUGGGAGGAACUGAAGAACAUUUUCGAAGGGUUUUUACAGAGCUGCAGAUUAUAACUGUAUGACAAAAGUACAGUUCCCAGCACCUACAUCACUCACCUGGGAAUGAAAAAUGUCUCAGUGGGAGCUCCUAAUUACCCACACGAGUGGAACAG